CUCCCCUGUGGGCGCCGUGUCCCGCCGCGCCGCCUCGGAAAGGGUCUGCCCGCGGCCGUUGUCGCCCCCGGUGUUCCUCGGGGCGCGCGGGGCUCCACACGCCAGGUGUCGCGGUGGAGGGAGCUGAAACCCAAAAACAGCCGCUGUGGGCUGUGGCUGCCCCGGGACACCGCUCCUGGACUGUGGCAGGCGUGAUGGGAGCAGGCGCGGCAGGAUUUGGCUCCAGGAUGGUUUGAUAAGGAGCUGCUGGAAAACACCAGAGACCUGGAGAGCUUCUGCUUGCUUCCUGCUGGGAGGGUUACGUGGGUGCACCUGGGCCAGUUUUCCAUCCCUCCUUCCUGUUAACUCUCCCAAGGAAAAGCAACGUAGGCACCGAGUGUGGGAGUGCACUUUUUUCCUCCAAAAAGCAGAGUCUGAGGAAACAGGAAGGGACUGAAGCAUUGCAGAGCUCUCCGUGCUCGCGCCGUGGGGCGGCACCGUCCCUCCACCAAAACCUCAGACACAAAAUCUCGCAGUUCCAGAACAGAGACAACGCCUCGUGGAGAGGAUGUCAUUGUCAACGCCUGACAGUGUCCUGGUCACCACCCCAGCCACCGUGUUUGGAAUGAGGGAAAAAGGAGACGUGAAGAUGGAUGGAAAAGCCAAGCCCUCAUGGCACCAGUGCCCAGCACUCCCUGCAGCACCGUCAGUCCACAGGGAGGUGGAAUGAGCUGCCCAUCCCAUGGGAAUCUGGAGGGAGCGGCUUUGGAGCUGUCCAGGCUGUUGUUGCUG